rnacentral:rRNA from 1 species
UGGGGAAUUUUGGACAAUGGGGGAAACCCUGAUCCAGCCAUCCCGCGUGUGCGAUGAAGGCCUUCGGGUUGUAAAGCACUUUUGGCAGGAAAGAAACGUCAUGGGUUAAUACCCCGUGAAACUGACGGUACCUGCAGAAUAAGCACCUGCUAACUACGUGCCAGCAGCCGCGGUAAUACGUAGGGUGCAAGCGUUAAUCGGAAUUACUGGGCGUAAAGCGUGCGCAGGCGGUUCGGAAAGAAAGAUGUGAAAUCCCAGAGCUCAACUUUGGAACUGCAUUUUUAACUACCGGGCUAGAUUGUGUCAGAGGGAGGUGGAAUUCCGCGUGUAGCAGUGAAAUGCGUAGAUAUGCGGAGGAACACCGAUGGCGAAGGCAGCCUCCUGGGAUAACACUGACGCUCAUGCACGAAAGCGUGGGGAGCAAACAGG